AUUGAACGCUGGCGGCAGGCCUAACACAUGCAAGUCGAGCGGAUGAAGGGAGCUUGCUCCUGGAUUCAGCGGCGGACGGGUGAGUAAUGCCUAGGAAUCUGCCUGGUAGUGGGGGAUAACGUCCGGAAACGGGCGCUAAUACCGCAUACGUCCUGAGGGAGAAAGUGGGGGAUCUUCGGACCUCACGCUAUCAGAUGAGCCUAGGUCGGAUUAGCUAGUUGGUGGGGUAAAGGCCUACCAAGGCGACGAUCCGUAACUGGUCUGAGAGGAUGAUCAGUCACACUGGAACUGAGACACGGUCCAGACUCCUACGGGAGGCAGCAGUGGGGAAUAUUGGACAAUGGGCGAAAGCCUGAUCCAGCCAUGCCGCGUGUGUGAAGAGGGUCUUCGGAUUGUAAAGCACUUUAAGUUGGGAGGAAGGGCAGUAAGUUAAUACCUUGCUGUUUCGACGUUACCAACAGAAUAAGCACCGGCUAACUUCGUG
rnacentral:rRNA from 1 species